AGGAAGUUUUGCCGCGUUUCUUUGUUUUGGAUCUUCAGGCGCAGUUUUUUGACGUUUCGAUACUUCAGAAACCUUUUUAUUUCGCUUACGAAUAACGAGCUAAACGCAGUUUUAUGAUUCUGUGUUGAUUGAACCCAUAUGAGCUAAUUUAGUAUUCAGCGUCUCUGUCGUCUAGCCACUGUAGCUAGUUAACGUUAGCUAGCAACACAGGAGCCUUUCUUGACGUCAGUCGCUAAGGCUUGCUCAUAUCGUGGAUGGUAAUCAAACCCAGCCUGCCACUCUCCUUUACCGGACCUAAAUCUGAGGGUCCUGAUUGUAACAGUAAAGCCCAGAGUGAACAGCAGGCUCCAGAGAUGGCAUCAGUGAAGCAGGAAGACUGCAGUCAAACACUGGGGCUGAAUGUCAACAUUAAAGAUGAAGUAAAGGAGGAAGAGAUUGAAACAUUUGUGUAUCAUGGGCCGGCUGGAGAGCUCAAAGAAAAGACGGAAGAAAAGAAAGUCUUACUACUCAAAGAUAAAGGAAAAAGAAAACCCAAAGGAAUGGAGAAGGAAACUGAAAAAAAGAGGCACCGAUUCACCCCUGGAGAUGAGGAUCUUAUUAUUUCAGGGGUACUUGGGCACUGGGAGGACCUCUUCGGUGCCCAGGCCCACAUUCGCCCCCGGGGGUCAAAGACGGCAACCUGGAACACCAUCGCGGGGACCUUGACCCCUACAUCAGCUGUGGCGAGAUGUGGUGAUGAUGUCCGGAAGAAGUACAAUCUCAUAAGGAGCCAAAUCAAGCAAAAGGUUUCUUCUAUCCGGACAUUGUCCACCCAGACUGGUGGGGGGCCCAACACCGUGCCGGCGCUGACCGACCUGGAGCAGCAACUGCUUUCCCGAAUGGCAGAGACCGAAGCUGGUGUAGGGCCUGCUGAUUUGGGAUUUGGACCUUGAGCGAGGCUGAGGUGCACCCAUGACCAGCUCUGAAACAAGAUUGCAUAGCGGAGAAGGUCUCUCUCAGGGAGAAAUCUCCAGCUCUGGUCCCCUACCAGCAGCACAGGGAACUGUGGAGUCAGCUUUACCCUCUGUCACCAUGGAGGAGCUACCCUCCACCUCGCCAUCAACACCUUGGCCAGCACCAACAGUGCCACCCCAACCCAUCACCUCCCGUCCUGCACCAUCUCACUCUGGCUCUACACCCCAACCCAUCACCUCCCGUCCUGCACCAGCUCACUCAAUCCAGGCUCAAUCAAUGAAUCAAAUUUAUUUUAUAAAGCCCUUUUUACAUCAGCAGUUGUCACAAAGUGCUUUACAAAUACCUAGCUUAAAACCCCAAAUAGCAAGCAAUGCAGAUGCACUCUCUGGCUGUAAACCCCAACCCAUCACCUCCUGUCCUGCACCAUCUCACUCCAUCCACUCUGGCUCUACACCCCAACCCAUCACCUCCUGUCCUGCACCAUCUCACUCUGGCUCUACACCCCAACCCAUCACCUCCUGUCCUGCACCAUCUCACUCCAUCCACUCUGGCUCUACACCCCAACCCAUCACCACCUGUCCUGCACCAUCUCACUCUGGCUCUACACCCCAACCCAUCACCUCCUGUCCUGCACCAUCUCACUCCAUCCACUCUGGCUCUACAUCCCAACCCAUCACGUCUGGCUGGACACCACAGGGCCCCCAAGCCAAUCUGUUCCAACAAAUCCUGGACACACAAACACAACAAAUCCAUGUUACACAGACCGCCCAACACAUCCACCAAGCUCUUUAUGAUUUAUUACAAAAAGCACAUGAAACACAGAAGGCACACCUGGAUGUGGAGAAGAACCGGCUCCAGCUGGAUAGAGAGCGCUUGAGGGUGGAGACAGAGCGCCUGCAGGUGGAGAGGGAGCGCCUUCAGCUGGAGAAGGAUCGCCUGGGG
rnacentral:lncRNA from 1 species